GGCUUAUUGAUAAUAAUUUUAAGUCUGACCUGCCCAAUGAUUAAUUAAAUGGCUGCGGUAUUUUGACCGUACAAAGGUAGCAUAAUCAUUAGUUUUUUAAUUGAAAGCUUGUAUGAAAGGUUUGAUGAGAAAAUUUCUGUCUCUAUUUAAAUUAAUUGGAAAUUUAUUUUUAAGUAAAAAAGCUUAAAUAUUUAUAGAAGACGAGAAGACCCUAUAGAGUUUUAUAUUUUUUUAAGUAAAAUUUUAUUAGAAUAUAAAAAUAUUAUUAAUAAAAGUAUUUAGUUGGGGUGAUAGAAAAAUGAGACUAACUUUUUUUGUAUAAAAACAUUGAUUUAUGAAUAUUUGAUCCUUUUUUAAAGAUUAAAAGAUGAAAUUACCUUAGGGAUAACAGCGUAAUUUUUUUUAAGAGUUCUAAUCGAAAAAAGAGAUUGCGACCUCGAUGUUGGAUUAAGAGAAAAUAUUGGUGUAGAAGCUUAUAUAUUGGGUCUGUUCGACCUUUAAAAUCUUACAUGAUCUGAGUUUAGACCGGCGUGAG
rnacentral:rRNA from 1 species